rnacentral:rRNA from 1 species
GCUUGCUCCCUGAUGUUAGCGGCGGACGGGUGAGUAACACGUGGGUAACCUGCCUGUAAGACUGGGAUAACUCCGGGAAACCGGGGCUAAUACCGGAUGGUUGUUUGAACCGCAUGGUUCAAACAUAAAAGGUGGCUUCGGCUACCACUUACAGAUGGACCCGCGGCGCAUUAGCUAGUUGGUGAGGUAACGGCUCACCAAGGCAACGAUGCGUAGCCGACCUGAGAGGGUGAUCGGCCACACUGGGACUGAGACACGGCCCAGACUCCUACGGGAGGCAGCAGUAGGGAAUCUUCCGCAAUGGACGAAAGUCUGACGGAGCAACGCCGCGUGAGUGAUGAAGGUUUUCGGAUCGUAAAGCUCUGUUGUUAGGGAAGAACAAGUACCGUUCGAAUAGGGCGGUACCUUGACGGUACCUAACCAGAAAGCCACGGCUAACUACGUGCCAGCAGCCGCGGUAAUACGUAGGUGGCAAGCGUUGUCCGGAAUUAUUGGGCGUAAAGGGCUCGCAGGCGGUUUCUUAAGUCUGAUGUGAAAGCCCCCGGCUCAACCGGGGAGGGUCAUUGGAAACUGGGGAACUUGAGUGCAGAAGAGGAGAGUGGAAUUCCACGUGUAGCGGUGAAAUGCGUAGAGAUGUGGAGGAACACCAGUGGCGAAGGCGACUCUCUGGUCUGUAACUGACGCUGAGGAGCGAA